UGGUUAAUAAUAUGAUUGCCUUUGA
rnacentral:miRNA from 1 species